CAUACAGCAACUUUUCUAUCACUUUGUAUCCGAUACCACUUGUAUCUCAAGAAAUGACCGUCGAGAGGGGCAGACUCAGGGACAUCGUCGGUUGUGACGGUCUUGUCAGGUCUCCGUAGGAGGACGUACGGCGGUAACUUAUGGGGAUAUCCGAGGGGAGGUGCACACGUACCACGCUCAGCAUGCUUUUUCACUUUUCUAUUUCCUCACCACUAUGUAACCCUAUCAACUCCAACUCCUCGAAACAGAGACAAGAAAACGUACCAAUUAACAGUGGGCGGAUACUUGGCGGAUCCGCCAUUUACUUAACCCAAAAUACACGCCAGCCUUGACCGUACCCCCGAAAACACGGCGAUUAAAAGAAAAAGCAAGCAAGAAAACAAUAACACAGAUCUUGUAAUCAAGAGCAGAUAGGCGACGGAUUUCAGCACGACACAGAGAGAGAGAAGGAGAGAGCGCUAAGAGCUAAAGAAAGAAAGUGAGGGUUUGGGAAGAGUGAUGAAAGUAGAUCGAUAGGCGAGAGAAUCGAGAAUUGUAGAGAAAGAGAAGUUGGAAAUUUGGAAAAAGAAAAGGAGGAAUCGACAAUUAGGGUUUUACAGAGGAAAGCGUAUCUAUGGAGAUGGAGGUAAUGUGGGAGGGGUGGUGUAGUGGAGCCCUUGUAUGUUUUGAGACUUUG
rnacentral:misc_RNA from 1 species